rnacentral:rRNA from 1 species
UACGGGGGGGGCAAGCGUUGUUCGGAAUUACUGGGCGUAAAGGGUGCGUAGGCGGUGCUCUAAGUCGGAUGUGAAAACUCUGGGCUCAACCCAGAGCCUGCAUCCGAAACUGGAGUGCUAGAGUUCUGGAGGGGGUAGCGGAAUUCCUGGUGUAGCGGUGAAAUGCGUAGAUAUCGAGAGGAACACCAGUGGCGAAGGCGAGUCUCUGGACGACACCUGACACUGAGGCACGAAAGCCAGGGGAGCAAACAGG